rnacentral:rRNA from 1 species
AUGCACCUCUUUUCUUGGUCGGAAGGGAAGGUGUUGGUUGAACUCCUAUGCACCCACACACAUGAGCAAACACGGAUUUUAUUUAAACUACAACCUUUUCUGUUGAUCAGUUAUGAACACCUCAUGUGGUUGAUCGGUCAGAGCACAGAUUCAAAGAGGGGUUCAUGCUUUGGUAGUGUGGCAUCAACCAUCCAGUAUUGUUCCAGUAUUUAUACCGUUAGCCAUAUCUGUAAAGAGUUGGUAUGUAAUGAAAAUGUGUGGUUAUUUCCUUCAACCCUUAAGUUAGAAAAACAUGAGUAG